rnacentral:rRNA from 1 species
GCUUAGAGAGGGGUCAAUGUCCUAUCAGCUAGUUGGUAAGGUAAUGGCUUACCAAGGCUAAGACGGGUAGCCGGCCUGAGAGGGUAGUCGGCCACACUGGGACUGAGACACUGCCCAGACUCCUACGGGAGGCUGCAGUCGAGAAUCUUUCGCAAUGCCCGAAAGGGUGACGAAGCGACGCCGCGUGUGGGAAGAAGGCCUUCGGGUUGUAAACCACUGUCGGGAGUUAAGAAAUGUAAGGGUGUUAAUAGCAUCCUUACUUGACUAAGGCUCCGGAGGAAGCCACGGCUAACUCUGUGCCAGCAGCCGCGGUAAUACAGAGGCGGCAAGCGUUGUUCGGAAUUAUUGGGCGUAAAGAGCACGUAGGCGGCCUUGUAAGUCAGUUGUGAAAGCCUUCUGCUUAACGGAAGGACAGCAUCUGAUACUGCAAGGCUAGAGUACGGAAGGG